UUCCCCAAAUCUUGCAAAACCUAACCCUCCAACCCGACCACGCCGCCGCGUCCAACCAGACCACGCCGCCGCCACCACCUCCACCAGCCACUCCACCUCAGCGUAGGCUUCCGCCCCGAGCACAGUCGCCGCCGACCGCCUAGUCGUCGCCGAGCACCCUCCUACACCGACGAAUCCCUUGGCCGCUUCCUCCCCAUCCCCUGCUGCACCUAGCGCCUGCUUCCUCCCGAGGAAAGUCGCCGAUCGCCCUCCAUCCCCACCACAACAGCCACCUCCUCCGCAGGGCCCCUCUCCCGAGAAGCUCCACCUCCUGUACAUCCUCCCCCAGGUGCAGCGCCGCCUCCUUGCCCACCGAGAGCACUUGGCCGGUGAGAUUUCAUUCUUUGUAAACUUUUGUUCCCUUUUUCUUCUGACCAGUAACUAGAACAACUUCAGAAAGUGUUUUGAGUUUAUAUGACAGUACAUUUGUGAAAAUAACGGCUAGCCCCAAGUUUUUCUUAUGGUGAGGAGAUCUUCCAUUGCAGCAAAUUGUCGCUACAACUGCAUACUAAAUCAGUGAAUCCCAGUAGGAGUACUACAUGCAAGCUCUGGGAAGAUAAGUUUAAAGGCCGUGCUGCAAAUAUAGCUAGAGAACUUCUUUCUGUAUAUUUUGGUGCAAAUGUAGACUGAAAGUGGAGUACCACUUCUAGAGUUAAACAAUUUUAACUAGUGAAUGUGUUAGUUCUAUGACCCCGCAAAAAAGAAUGUGUUAGUUCUAUGAAUAUAGAUAUAUGGGGUUUGAUCUGGAAUUUUCUUCUAUAAUUUUCUAUUUCUAGUUUGCCACUGCUCCCAGUCAUCCGAUUCUGGAAUUUUAUGAUCAAUAGUUGUCUAUCAUAGUAGAAAUCCCUUCAAGUGUUGCAACCUUUAUUAUUGAAUUGAAAAACAUUUGCUUGAUAAUUUAUUUUUUCUAGAGUAAAAUGAUAGCAAUUUGGUUUUGUACUGUCACCACUACUGGAAAUAGCAUGGCAUCAUGACUUAUUAAAUUACAAGAUCCCCUAUUGUUAAAACUUCUUUUAUUUAGCUUAACACUUAAGAACAAAUACAUCCAUAGCUAUGUUCAUAGAGAUGGUACAUAGCUUAAGAUGUGCAUGUGGUUCAGAUUUUGGAAAAGGGUCUACUGGCAGUGCCAUGUACAAGUAAUAUAACCCUAGCAGUACAGUACCUUGUCAUGCAGGGCCACGAGUAAUAUAAGACUGCUGUUUUGUUGCUGAUAAUUAGAACGUUUGGAUGCUUGUUGUUUAGGUUGUGCGUCUAGGUUUGGUAGUAGUGCUGGUGUGUGUGGCUUAGUCUCUGAUGUUUUCAGUAAUGGAAAUUGGGAGCUAUGCUCCUAAGUAGAAAAAUUGGAAGAAUUAGGACAUGAGGCUAGCUGAGUACCAUGCUCUUUUCUCCUAUAUGUAAUUCUUACAAACUGUUCCCUAAUUUUCAUUUGAUGCUUUCACUGAAAUAUUUUUUUGGAUUGUUUGUCUUGUGAGCAGCGUACAUCUUCUUUGUCCUCUCCAAGCAGUGUCAACUACUCCAUACAAGCACAUAAGCUUAUGCUCUUAUGAUUAUAUAUUUACUUUUGGAUACAUGUUUGCUGCUAUUUCAGAACAUUGAAACUUAUUUAGCAUUUCGUUUCUUAUAUGCUUCAUGCAAAUGAAACUGCAGUAAACAUAUGAACUGAGAUUUUGCUUGCCAUCUGUAUACAUGCCCUGAAUUUGAUUAGUCUUUUUAUGCAUACAACUACUGGAAGCUUUUACAUGUCCUGGAACUGAGCUUUUACAUGCCCUGUGUAUUCUGAAGAUUAGUCUUUUGUUAUUGGGCAGUACUUGAAACAGAGUCGUUGGUCUCCUGACAUAUAACCAUUUAUGAAGAGCAUAGGUGAUGCCUUCUCUUGUAUUCCUAUGCAUAGUCCAGUACUUUUUUAUGUGUAAAAAGUGGCUGACCUAGCAUAGUGGCAUUACACUUUUUUGUAUUUUGUACACAUCAGGAACCUUGCUAUAGAUACACACUGAAAGUUGAAAAUGAUGCUAGCAGAAAUUGGUGUUCUGUCAGCUACGCAUCUGUUUUAAAACAUGAUAUGACUACUUGCUUUGGAAUACUUAUCUGAUCCUAUCUCAUGUAUAUUUUAGUUAUUUCUAGACAAAUCUUUAGGAACCAAGUUCAUUUACAACUCAAAGUCUUGUGCAUGGAGGAGAAUUGAGAUACUUGCUCAUUCUGUACUUGUCAAAACGUAUGUGUAGAUAUUCUGCUCAUUCUGGUUGAUGCUACUACUUGAUUAAUGUCUUCUUUACGAGCUUCUACCUUGUGUAAAUAACAUGAUUAUUUGGCAGCCUGGUUUCAUAUCUUUGAAUCUUAUGUGAAUAAACUAUGUCCAAGUGUUUUCUGUUCUUUGCUUAACUAGAUAUCAAAGUAUAAACAACAAGCUCAUGUACAAGAUGGCAAUUAUGGUGGUUAUUUAGUUUAUUUCAUUGAUUCUCGACAUAUUAAUUGAUUCUAGAGUCCUAGCUUUAUGCAAGGAGAUGUAAAAGAAGCAACAAGUAAUUUCCCUUCUCCUUUCUUUUACAAUUGUCAUGAUUUUAUAUGACCUUUUUUAGUUAAAACCUGUUGUCGUUGGUCUGAAUAUUUUGAUCAUUAAAAUUUGUGAUGAAUUCUUAAAUUGAUUAGGAAGACUGGAUGUGUAAAACUUUGUUUAUGUCGCUGGGUGCAGGUCUUUUAUAUCCUUCCAAUACCUUGAACUAACUAUUUUCUCUGCGGUUACAUAUAUGCACAUCUUAUGCUCAUUUGCAGGGCUUCAGCAAAGUUUGGCCGACCUUUUGGUGGCUAAUAUUUAGAAGCUAUAUUUAAUCCAAAGCUUUUCUUUAACAGAGCAAUUCAGCUGGUUCCUGUCAAACUUUUCUAUCAACUAUGUGCCCAUAUCCUCUGGCACGCAAAAUCCCCCCUCAAGAGGCGAGCCAUUAGUGUUUGAUGUUGGCAUCAUCGUUGGAAGAUCUUCUGCACUAUCUACACGAUGUUUCUUCUACAUGAUAGCACUUCACGUCUACAUGAUGUUUCUUCUACAUGAUAGCACUUGAAGACUACAUGACGUUUCUUGUAUUCGCAGCUCAAACCAUUUGUGUAGCUUAGUUUGAACAAAAGGUCUUAUUGUCUUGCAUGUAAACUCUAUUUAGUAAUGUAGCUAGAUGCUACUGAACGCAUGUACAAAUGUCAAAAUACUAAAGUGUUUGUCAUUACGUGUUUGAGAUCUGCUAUUGAAUCUUGAGUGAAUUCCU